GGUUCCAUUAUGUAGCGGUUAGCACAUCUGCUUUACACGCAGAAUGUCCUGGGUUGGCAUCCCAGUGGAGCCA
rnacentral:tRNA from 1 species